AUUGAACGCUGGCGGCAGGCUUAACACAUGCAAGUCGAGCGGAGAUGAGGUGCUUGCACCUUAUCUUAGCGGCGGACGGGUGAGUAAUGCUUAGGAAUCUGCCUAUUAGUGGGGGACAACAUUCCGAAAGGAAUGCUAAUACCGCAUACGCCCUACGGGGGAAAGCAGGGGAUCUUCGGACCUUGCGCUAAUAGAUGAGCCUAAGUCGGAUUAGCUAGUUGGUGGGGUAAAGGCCUACCAAGGCGACGAUCUGUAGCGGGUCUGAGAGGAUGAUCCGCCACACUGGGACUGAGACACGGCCCAGACUCCUACGGGAGGUAGCAGUGGGGAAUAUUGGACAAUGGGCGGAAGCCUGAGCCAGCCAUGCCGCGUGUGUGAAGAAGGCCUUUUGGUUGUAAAGCACUUUAAGCGAGGAGGAGGCUACCUGGAUUAAUACUCUAGGAUAGUGGACGUUACUCGCAGAAUAAGCACCGGCUAACUCUGUGCCAGCCGCCGCCGUAAAAC
rnacentral:rRNA from 1 species